GAACGCUGGCGGCGUGCCUAAUACAUGCAAGUCGAACGAACUCUGGUAUUGAUUGGUGCUUGCAUCAUGAUUUACAUUUGAGUGAGUGGCGAACUGGUGAGUAACACGUGGGAAACCUGCCCAGAAGCGGGGGAUAACACCUGGAAACAGAUGCUAAUACCGCAUAACAACUUGGACCGCAUGGUCCGAGUUUGAAAGAUGGCUUCGGCUAUCACUUUUGGAUGGUCCCGCGGCGUAUUAGCUAGAUGGUGGGGUAACGGCUCACCAUGGCAAUGAUACGUAGCCGACCUGAGAGGGUAAUCGGCCACAUUGGGACUGAGACACGGCCCAAACUCCUACGGGAGGCAGCAGUAGGGAAUCUUCCACAAUGGACGAAAGUCUGAUGGAGCAACGCCGCGUGAGUGAAGAAGGGUUUCGGCUCGUAAAACUCUGUUGUUAAAGAAGAACAUAUCUGAGAGUAACUGUUCAGGUAUUGACGGUAUUUAACCAGAAAGCCACGGCUAACUACGUGCCAGCAGCCGCGGUAAUACGUAGGUGGCAAGCGUUGUCCGGAUUUAUUGGGCGUAAAGCGAGCGCAGGCGGUUUUUUAAGUCUGAUGUGAAAGCCUUCGGCUCAACCGAAGAAGUGCAUCGGAAACUGGGAAACUUGAGUGCAGAAGAGGACAGUGGAACUCCAUGUGUAGCGGUGAAAUGCGUAGAUAUAUGGAAGAACACCAGUGGCGAAGGCGGCUGUCUGGUCUGUAACUGACGCUGAGGCUCGAAAGUAUGGGUAGCAAACAGGAUUAGAUACCCUGGUAGUCCAUACCGUAAACGAUGAAUGCUAAGUGUUGGAGGGUUUCCGCCCUUCAGUGCUGCAGCUAACGCAUUAAGCAUUCCGCCUGGGGAGUACGGCCGCAAGGCUGAAACUCAAAGGAAUUGACGGGGGCCCGCACAAGCGGUGGAGCAUGUGGUUUAAUUCGAAGCUACGCGAAGAACCUUACCAGGUCUUGACAUACUAUGCAAAUCUAAGAGAUUAGACGUUCCCUUCGGGGACAUGGAUACAGGUGGUGCAUGGUUGUCGUCAGCUCGUGUCGUGAGAUGUUGGGUUAAGUCCCGCAACGAGCGCAACCCUUAUUAUCAGUUGCCAGCAUUAAGUUGGGCACUCUGGUGAGACUGCCGGUGACAAACCGGAGGAAGGUGGGGAUGACGUCAAAUCAUCAUGCCCCUUAUGACCUGGGCUACACACGUGCUACAAUGGAUGGUACAACGAGUUGCGAACUCGCGAGAGUAAGCUAAUCUCUUAAAGCCAUUCUCAGUUCGGAUUGUAGGCUGCAACUCGCCUACAUGAAGUCGGAAUCGCUAGUAAUCGCGGAUCAGCAUGCCGCGGUGAAUACGUUCCCGGGCCUUGUACACACCGCCCGUCACACCAUGAGAGUUUGUAACACCCAAAGUCGGUGGGGUAACCUUUUAGGAACCAGCCGCCUAAGGUGGGACAGAUGAUUAGGGUGAAGUCGUAACAAGGUAGCCGUAGGAGAACCUGCGGCUGGUACCC
rnacentral:rRNA from 1 species